CCAAAUAUUCAUGGGGCGCUUAUUAUGUGCCAGGCACUGUUUGCUGUAAGCUCUUUGCUUGUCCUCAGUCAUCCAUCUCUCCCAUCAACUCCGAGAAAAGGGGUGCUCUUUUCAAUGCUGCUUUAAGACCUGGGGGGAAAUGGAUUUUCACUGGAUGCAAAGCAAAGGCAGCCACCUGUCCCCAUGAGUGAGCACGAGAGGGCUGUGCCUCCCCAGCACACGCGGCACAGAAGUCCACAGAGCACGCGGCAAAGCCACGAGAACAUUUCUAGGCUAACUUGCUGGAGGAAGAGAGGCGAUGGAACUGGGCGUUUCAGCUCAGAAGCUAGAACCAAGGCUCAGAGAACCUGAACUGCCCCCGGGGCACCUCUAGUAUAAAACGGAGGAAGGAAAGAAAUGCCAGCAUCCUCAACACCUGCUAUGAGCCUGGACUCAUCAAUUCAUUUCAGCGAAGUGGUCUGGAGGCUGGGAAGUCUGACAUCAGGUUGCCAGUGCAUGGCCAUCAAGUGCCUGCCAAGAUUUCAACAACCAACCACAGCUUGACCUUUCUCAAAUUUUCAUCUCUAAACCAGUUUUCUCCUUUGAGCUCCUGAAGCUAAGCAGUUGAGAUCAUCACCUUCCAAUCAUCUCUUGGUUCAAGAUGGCCACUUGACCUCCAACCACGUUGUCCAUAUUCACUAAGGAAGGAAGAAAGAGAGGAGAGAUGCUCCACACUCCCCACCACUUUCAAGGAGAUUUCUUAAAGAUCCAGGAAUACAUUUGCUUAUAUUUCAUAGGCUAGAAGUUAGUGACAAAAUCAUAUCUCACUACAAGGCAUGGUUCUGGAGCUGAGGAGUCACAAGGGACCCAGACAACAACAAAAAUGGGGUCAAGGGUGCGAGCAUGUCAACUGGCAAUCCCAGUUCUGUGUAGAAAGGAGAUUUCCACCUACAAUCUUAUGUUGGCAAGAACUGCAAUGAUCUGUAUUUCAUUAUAACUCAAUCUCUAUUUAGUGCCUCCUCAAAUGGGGUUAAAAGAGAGUAUAUUGGGCAGCCCUGGUGGCCCAGUGGUUUAGUGCCACCUUCAGCCCAGGGCAUGAUC